AUUGAACGCUGGCGGCAGGCCUAACACAUGCAAGUCGAGCGGAGCGGCAGACGGGAGAGUAAUGCCUAGGAAUCUGCCUGGUAGUGGGGGAUAACGUCCGGAAAUGGGGGCUAAUACCGCAUACUAUCAGAUGAGCCUAGGGCGGAUUAGCUGGUUGGUGGGGUAAAGGCCGACCAAGGAGACGAUCCGUAACUGGUCUGAGAGGAUGAUAAUUCACACUGGAACUGAGACACGGUCCAGACUCCUACGGGAGGCAGCAGUGGGGAAUAUUGCACAAUGGGCGAAAGCCUGAUCCAGCCAUGCCGCGUGUGUGAAGAAGGUCUUCGGAUUGUAAAGCACUUUAAGUUGGGAGGCGUUACCAACAGAAUAAGCACCGGCUAACUUCGUGCCAGCAGCCGCGGUAAUAC
rnacentral:rRNA from 1 species